ensembl:lncRNA
GUAACCACAUGAUAGGAUAUAACUAUGCAAAUAAUGAGAAUGAUGCAUCUAUUGUAAUGUUGGGAAAAAAUAAUGUAACACUUAAUGGUGUUAGAUCAAAUAUUGAUACAAAUAAAACUGAAAUGAUAAAUAACACAAAAAAAUACAAAGUGAAUAAAGUAAAUACAGAAAACAACAUUGUUAUAGCUGCAUAUAGUGCUGAUAAAUUUACGUUAUAUUUGACGAUUUGUGGAUUAUUAUACGGAUUUGGUUUAAUUAAUGAACAUUUAUUACAAAGUAAAAUGAAUAAAAAUAAAAUAAAUAAAAUUUUAACUACACCUUAUCUUAUAGAUACUAACAAUAUAACUUUUAAAAAAAUAGCAAUAGGUAUAAAUUUUAUUUUAGGUAUUGAUUUUCAAAACUGUUUAUAUUCCUGGGGAAAUAAUACAAAUGGGGUAUUAGGUCAUAAUAAUUUUUUAGAUUAUGCAGAACCGCAAAAAAUUGAACGAAUGAAAAAUAUAGCAUAUAUUAGUGCCGGUAAAAUUAGUUUAUGUAAGACAUUUGACUCGGAUAUAUAUAUAUGGGGAAAUGCAUAUGGAAAUAAACCAAAUUUAAUUAAAAACAAAUUUGAUGAUAUUCAUAUAAACAAUAAUUUUAUUGUAGGUUUAUGUGACAAAACAAACAUAUGGAUAAAACAUGUUGAUCAAUCAGCUCAUGGAUAUUAUAUAAAUAAUGUAAAAAUUAAUUUGCUUUGUUCAUAUAAUAAAUUAAUUAUCGGUGUUGAUAAUUUUUACGAUAUAAAAAGUCAGUUAGAAGAUACUAAACGAAUUGAAACAAAAUGUAAUACACAUAUUGACAACAAAAAUGGCAGUGGUAACGAAAAUGUCAGUGUUAACGAAAAUGGCAGUGUUAACGAAAAUGGCAGUAGCCACGAAAACGAUAGUAGCCACGAAAACGAUAGUAGCCACGAAACUAUUGAGGGAAAAGUUCCCCAAACAAUCCAGAUUAAACAACAUGAUGAAUCUAAAUUAAAUAAUAUAAUAAAUUAUGACUAUAAUAAUAAUAAUGAUAAUAUUGGUGAUAAUAUUGGGGAUAAUAUUGGGGAUAAUAUUGGGGAUAAUAUUGGGGAUAAUAUUGGUGAUAAUAUUGGUGAUAAUAUUGGUGAUAAUAUGAACCAGAGUGAUAAAAAUAAAAAACUGAUAGAAGUUGUUAAAAUAAAAGAUGUAAAUAAAAACCUCGAUUGUAAUAUAAAAAUUAACAAUUCGAUUAUAAAUAUUGUUAAUAAAAAAAAUGAUGUAAAAUGUGCUGAUGAUGAAUAUGAUGGAUAUAAGAGAAGUACUGAUAGUGUGAGCAAUGAAAGUAUUAUUAUUUCUGAUACAGUUUUUAAUGAAAAUAAUCAACACAAUGAAUGUAAUAAUAACAGUAAAAAUGUCAUAGCUUUUUCUUUAUCAGAUAUAAAUGAUAUUAGUAAAGAACUAAAACAAAAAAAUUAUAAUAAAGGUGAUAAUAAAAUAGAUAGUAGUAUAACUGGUGUAACUGGUGUAAUUGUAAAUGAUAAAUUUAAUAAUUAUACAAAAUGUUGUGAUAUUUUAGAAAAAUCAGAAAUUUGUAAUCAUGGCGUCAAUAGUGGUGCAAGUAUUCAUAUCACUACUGGUAGCAAUAAUAAUGAUAAAAAUAGUGAUAAAAAUAAUGAUAAAAAUAGUGAUAGUGAUAGUGGUAAGGGAAAAAAUAAUGAUAGUGGUAAAGAUAAUAGCGAAAAGGACAUGGUAGACAACGAUAGGAAUAAUAUAUGUAUACAAAAUGACCAUAAUAAUAAUGAAAAUUAUGUUACUGAUAAUAUUAGUGACGAUGUUAGUGAUAAUAUUGGUGAUAAUAUUAGUGAUAAUAUUGGUGAUAAUAUUAGUGAUAAUAUUGGUGAUAAUAUUGGUGAUAAUAUUAGUGAUAAUAUUAGUGACGAUGUUAAUGACGAUGUUAGUGAUGAUGAACAAUUAUAUCAUAACGAUUUUGAUGAAGAGGGUGAAAUAGAUUAUGAUUUUUUUUCGAAUGAUAGUUUUUAUAGUGAAAUUGAAAAAGAUCAUAUAGAUGCUAAAAAUAUUAUUAUUAUUAAUAAUAAUAAAAAUGGAAAUAAUAAAAAUGGAUUGCAUUUAAAAUCAUCUUUUAAAAAAAAUAUCCAAUCUGAAGAAAAAAUAAAAAAAAGUGUUUCUUUUUCCAAUUAUGUUUACGAUUUGGAGAAAAGUAAUUACGAAUUAAUGAAUACUCAUUCAAGUGAUGAAUCGAGUGUAUCCAUCGAACAUGGCGGUGAAUAUCAAUAUGAGUAUGACCAUGAGUAUGACCAUG